rnacentral:rRNA from 1 species
UACAGGGGGUGCAAGCGUUACUCGGAUUUACUGGGCGUAAAGAGCGUGUAGGUGGUUUGUUAAGUCUGGUGUGAAAUCCCUGGGCUCAAUCCAGGAAGUGCAUCGGAUACUGGCAGACUAGAGUACAGGAGGGGUGAGCGGAAUUCCCGGUGUAGAGGUGAAAUUCGUAGAUAUCGGGAGGAACAACAGAGGCGAAGGCGGCUCACUGGACUGUUACUGACACUAAGGCGCGAAAGCGUGGGGAGCAAACAGG